ensembl:lncRNA
GAAAACCUCUGGACACAUUCAGAAUCUUUUGCUGGUAGCAGAUGUCUCUCUUAAACAUUACUUUGUGACUGAGAAAGAAGAGGAAACCAGACAUGUUCCCUGAAAUAUCUCAGGAUUCUAAAGUUAAAUGCAAUCACUCAGUAAAGAAAUAGUUUCUACAGUGACUUCAAGUAUGCCAGAGUAAAUUAGGAAAACGUACAGAUAUUCUUUUUAUAUGUGUCUUUUGACAACUGAAGAUUAUUUAAACUGUUAACUGUGAAGACAUAUGUUGUCUCAUAUACCAGGAAUAUCAGCUAUACUGAAGUGCUAAACUUUUCAAAUCACAAAAUGCUACCCAUGUGAGAUGGGAAUUUUGCAUUCAAGGCAAGGGUAACAUUAUUUCCUGAAUAAUAGUGACACCUGCAAUCCUUACUAUCACAGAAAAUGAGACAGCACCCUGGGACAACCGGAUUUUCCUAUGUCUGGCUCAAGCUUUACUGAGUUAUACUGGUCUAAGCACACCUUGAUUUAUCCAACUUGCCCACUAAACUGGAGCUCUACAUUCCCUCUGUACAGCAUAGCCAUACCAAAGCAAGCUGAAUGCAGAUGACUGAGACCUGCUCUCUCAAGCACUCUGCUCCUCCCUGGUCCUGGGGAAAAAUUAUGCUUUUUAUUUAAUGAACGAAGAAAUUCAGAGAGAAACAAAGCAAUAUUGGCACCUGAUAGUAUUCAUAAUUUGAUAUCAUCUUUAAUAUCAUAAACUGGAUCUUUUUACAUAAAAUUGAGGGGUCCUAUGUAAACUGUGUGUUUAUAAGAAUAAUAAUCUUUUAAAAUAAAAUUUGAAUUAUCAC